rnacentral:rRNA from 1 species
UACGGGGGGGGCAAGCGUUGUUCGGAAUUACUGGGCGUAAAGGGCUCGUAGGUGGCCAACUAAGUCAGACGUGAAAUCCCUCAGCUUAACUGGGGAAUUGCGUCUGAUACUGGAUGGCUUGAGAUUGGGAGAGGGAUGCGGAAUUCCAGGUGUAGCGGUGAAAUGCGUAGAUAUCUGGAGGAACACCGGUGGCGAAGGCGGCAUCCUGGACCAACACUGACACUGAGGAGCGAAAGCCAGGGGAGCAAACGGG